rnacentral:rRNA from 1 species
GAUGAACGCUGGCGGCGUGCUUAACACAUGCAAGUCGAACGAGCACUCUAUUUGAUUUCUUCGGAAUGAUUAUUUUGUGACUGAGUGGCGGACGGGUGAGUAACGCGUGGGUAACCUGCCUCAUACAGGGGGAUAACAGUUGGAAACGACUGCUAAUACCGCAUAAGCGCACAGGACCGCAUGGUCUGGUGUGAAAAACUCCGGUGGUAUGAGAUGGACCCGCGUCUGAUUAGCUAGUUGGUGGGGUAACGGCCUACCAAGGCGACGAUCAGUAGCCGACCUGAGAGGGUGACCGGCCACAUUGGGACUGAGACACGGCCCAA